rnacentral:rRNA from 1 species
CGCUAUCACUCCUACGGUAGGCAGCAGUGGGGAAUAUUGCACAAUGGGCGCAAGCCUGAUGCAGCCAUGCCGCGUGUAUGAAGAAGGCCUUCGGGUUGUAAAGUACUUUCAGCAGUGAGGAAGGUGGUGUCGUUAAUAGCGGCAUCAUUUGACGUUAGCUGCAGAAGAAGCACCGGCUAACUCCGUGCCAGCAGCCGCGGUAAUACGGAGGGUGCGAGCGUUAAUCGGAAUUACUGGGCGUAAAGCGCAUGCAGGUGGUUUGUUAAGUCAGAUGUGAAAGCCCGGGGCUCAACCUCGGAAUUGCAUUUGAAACUGGCAGACUAGAGUACUGUAGAGGGGGUAGAAUUUCAGGUGUAGCGGUGAAAUGCGUAGAGAUCUGAAGGAAUACCGGUGGCGAAGGCGGCCCCCUGGACAGAUACUGACACUCAGAUGCGAAAGCGUGGGGAGCAAACAGGAUUAGAUACCCUGGUAG